CUUAUUCAUUUACUUACCCUUUGUUAAUGCGUUUUGUAACGACACAAAUCAAAACAUAGCUGUUACUUGUUUCAUUUAAUUUUUUCAAGAGUUUACUUUUUAUAACGUCAAUCUAUGAUAAGAUUAAAAGCAGUUACUGCUGAUAUGUUUACAUGUAAUAGGUGAGCAUACUAUCACUAUAUAGUUAUUUGUUUACCUAUCAAAAAAUCUUCCUGUUGUUAUCAAAAAAUGAUAUGAUUGUUUUUAAUUAAUACAACACUGCAUAAUUGAAUUCGAAUAGUACUCGAUUUUUGUCAGGAUUGUUUGCAAGGUUAACAAUGUAUGGAUUUUUCGAAUGUUCCAACUGUAAGUCCCAAUGGGAAAGUGCCAAGGUUUUUCAAAGACCUGGAGCAACAACGUACUGGGGACAAGAGUGCAAGAAAUGUAAGGUCAUGUGCCAGCCAUAUAGAGUGGAGGAGACAAUGUGCUCUCGUUGUGGGGAAGUUGCUAGAACAUGCAAGUGUGACAAGACCCGUCAUACCGACCCAAAUAAACCACAUAUGUCGGCACUUUGUGAGAAAUGUCGCUCGGGCAAUCCGUGUAAAUAACUCUUUGAACGUAACCAUGAAAUCACGUGAUAAGCGCCGGACAAAAAUAAUGGUUACCUCAGCCCCGCCCAUUUUCAAUUUACGCUAAAACUUUUUUAAAUAUAUUGAGACUGCUGAUUAAAAAUCUUGUUUUGUUUUGUUAUGAUGUAUGCACUGGGAUAUUUUAUAAAAUUCAAGCCGACGUUUUGAUGUAUUGCGUGAUGAUUCAUAUAACAGCACCUGACAGAGAAAGUGUGCUUGGUAUGGGUGUAUUGAGUGGAAGUUCAACGAAUUAUGAUAUUUCAAUUGGCAAAAUUUUAUCUUAAUUAUGUAAAGAGUUUAUAUGAUGAAUAAAAAUUGUAUCAUAAUAAUUGUAAAACCAGUUAUAUUUUACAGUGUCAUGUAUGUUGACUUUUGAUAUUCUGUCUGAUUAUGUAAAUUGUCGGCUAUGAUCUAGUGUCAUUUUUUGAAACAUAUAUCAAACUCGUUUUAUAGCUUAUUGAUUACUUCACUAAUAAUAAUCAUUAUUUGACCAUUUUAUCAUGUUUUACGCGUUCAAAAUAUUUUAUCUAAAGUAUUUACCUUUUGUAAUGUAUAUGUACAUUUACAACGAACGCGUACAUUGUAAAAAAGUGUUUGAUAAAAACAGCACAACAAUAUCACGUAUCAGUUAGGAUUGUUUUUAUUUAACAAAAACUUACUUCGAAAUUUUCUGAAAAUAUCCCAUGCAAAUGCUCUUCGCGUAUAAAGUAUUGAAAUAGUCAACUUUAAUGGUGAUAACUAUUUGUCCCUUGUGUUGUAAAAUGACGGUGUAGAAAUGGAUGUAAUGAAAUUCCUUAGGUAAAUUGACCUUCGAAGUCAACGUCGUACAUGUUGAUAUCAAAAACGUAUUUGUAAUUGAUCUUUUUAUUUUAUUAUUUGAUAAAAAUAUAGAUCAAAAGGGUUUUCAUCUAUUCCAGUUAAGAAAUAUUAUCUAAAAGCCAUAUAUGAUAAGAAUGAAUUUGAGCAUUUCUAUAUUUUAAAAAAAUCGUCGUUGGCAGGAAAUUCGAGAUUAUAUGCUCAGCUCAAUAUUGUUGUUGUUGCUGUUUUUCGAUUCUAUUCAUUUAAUAUUUAACAUUGUAUGUUAUAUAAAUAUAAUAUGCGUAUCAUUUUUUUGUAUAAAUACUAAUGUCUUAAAUUGUAAAACAUUUGAUUAAAAAUUAUGUACACUA